AGCGAACGCUGGCGGCAUGCCUAACACAUGCAAGUCGAACGAGACCUUCGGGUCUAGUGGCGCACGGGUGCGUAACGCGUGGGAACCUGCCCUUAGGUUCGGAAUAACUCCCCGAAAGGGGUGCUAAUACCGGAUAAUGUCUUCGGACCAAAGAUUCAUCGCCUUUGGAUGGGCCCGCGUUGGAUUAGCUAGUUGGUAGGGUAAAAGCCUACCAAGGCGACGAUCCAUAGCUGGUCUGAGAGGAUGAUCAGCCACACUGGGACUGAGACACGGCCCAGACUCCUACGGGAGGCAGCAGUGGGGAAUAUUGGACAAUGGGCGAAAGCCUGAUCCAGCAAUGCCGCGUGAGUGAUGAAGGCCUUAGGGUUGUAAAGCUCUUUUACCCGGGAUGAUAAUGACAGUACCGGGAGAAUAAGCUCCGGCUAACUCCGUG
rnacentral:rRNA from 1 species